rnacentral:rRNA from 1 species
UACGUAGGUGGCAAGCGUUGUCCGGAAUUAUUGGGCGUAAAGGGCGCGCAGGCGGUUCUGUUUGUCGAGUGUGAAAGCCCCGGGCUUAACCUGGGAACUGCGAUGGAAACUAGCGAGCUGGAGUGUGGCAGAGGGGGGUGGAAUUCCGCGUGUAGCAGUGAAAUGCGUAGAGAUGCGGAGGAACACCGAUGGCGAAGGCAGCCCCCUGGGCUAACACUGACGCUCAGGCACGAAAGCGUGGGGAGCAAACAGG